rnacentral:rRNA from 1 species
AUUGAACGCUGGCGGCAGGCCUAACACAUGCAAGUCGAACGAGUGGCGGACGGGUGAGUAAUGUCUGGGAAACUGCCUGAUGGAGGGGGAUAACUACUGGAAACGGUAGCUAAUACCGCAUACCAUCGGAUGUGCCCAGAUGGGAUUAGCGAGUAGGUGGGGUAACGGCUCACCUAGGCGACGAUCCCUAGCUGGUCUGAGAGGAUGACCAGCCCACCUGGAACUGUGACACGGUCCAGACUCCUCCGGGAGGCCGCGUUGGGGAAUAUUGGACAAUGGGCGAAAGCCUGAUCCAGCCAUGCCGCGUGUGUGAAGAAGGUCUUCGGAUUGUAAAGCACUUUAAGUUGGGAGGCGUUACCAACAGAGUAAGCGCCGGCUAACUUCGUGCCAGCAGCCGCGGUAAUAC